CAACUGCAACGAGUGCUGCAACGAUGUGUCGCGCUCGUACAGCCGCUGAAGAAUCAAAUCAAGAUAUUUUUAUCAAAACAUUAAUUUGCAGCUUAACAUAGGAUUAAAAAAGUACCACUUCGAUCUGUCCAGAUAGGAUGGAAAGUUUCAUGUUGUACAUCGUGUGAGAAAUGAUAUAAUUAGAAGUUGAACACAAUCGAUAACGUAUCGUUACAUCGUCGCUAUCGUACAAUGGUCGAGUUUUAAUCAUAGUUGAUUGAAACAAUACGAUAAGAAGUUACCAAAAAUUAAUUCCGAUUUGUUUAUUGACGUUUCUGUCUGGACCAUGCUAUCAAACAUUUUGAAACAUCGACAGAACCGCGACUCGAUUGAGGAAAACUUACAAGUGGAAUAUGUACAAUAAUGAUAAGAAUAAAUCCCAAGAUGUCUGGAUACCUAAGGACUGUCUAAAUAUUAUUCAUCAGUAUAAAAACUCUAGUCAGUCGUUGGAUAUCGAUAGGAAUAAUUACUAAAGAUUAUUAAUCAUUAAACGGAGGCUGCUGGAUUAAUCGUGAUUCAGAAUUACAAAAUAUAUGCAAGGGUACUUCGACCAUCUCAACUGGUCACGUAUUUGUGAUUUUAGUACUUAAUUUGUCACAUCAUUAUUAAAAUUUUUUAAUAAAACUUCUAUAUCGUAAAAAAA